rnacentral:rRNA from 1 species
AGAGUUUGAUCAUGGCUCAGAAUGAACGCUGGCGGCGUGCUUUACACAUGCAAGCCGAGCGAGGCGGCCCGCAAGGGUCAGUCGAGCGGCGAACGGGUGAGUAACGCGUGGAUUAUCUGCCCUGAGGUGGGGAACAACCAGGGGAAACUCUGGCUAAUACCGCAUGAUACCGUGAGGUCAAAGGGGGCUCGCAAGGGCUCUCGCCACAGGAGGAGUCCGCGUUCGAUUAGCUAGUUGGUAGGGUAAUGGCCUACCAAGGCGACGAUCGAUAGCCGGCCUGAGAGGGUGAUCGGCCACACUGGAACUGAGACACGGUCCAGACUCCUACGGGAGGCAGCAGUGGGGAAUUUUGCGCAAUGGGCUAACGCCUGACGCAGCAACGCCGCGUGGAGGAUGAAGGUCUUUGGAUUGUAAACUCCUGUCAGCGGGGAAAAAGCAACCCGACCUCAUACGUCGGGAAGUUGAUUGUACCCGCAGAGGAAGCCCCGGCUAACUCUGUGCCAGCCGCCGCGGUAAUUC